GCUUGAAUAGUUUAAAUAAAAUACUGGUCUUGUAAGCCAGAGCUGAAGCCUAGCCGCUUCUUCCAGCA
rnacentral:tRNA from 1 species